UCUACAAUUUGAUCUUUACAAAUGUUUCUGCAUCAUAAAUAUUGGGAAUGUAAUUACAAUUUGAUCAUUGCCGGUCUACAAUUUGAUCUUUCCUAUUAACUAAAUUAUGUAUUUCAAGGUUAUUUUCUCCAUCAACGCAAGGCAGAGAUGACAGAUUUCCUGAGAAAGGUCAGUUUUUUUUUUUCAUACAAAACUAAAGAGCAAUGAUUGUGUAUGCUUAGUAGUUCUGUUUUGGCCAAAAGUUGUUGGCUGGGGCUCAUCUUCAAUUGGAGAUUUCCUUAGUGUUUCUCUUCAACAGCAGUUGGCUAUUCAUUAGUUAUUAAUUUGGCUGAAUUUGAUGCUUUCUCUUUCACUACUAGUUGACUGGACGCAAGUGAGCUUUGUAAUAUUACAAGUUGUAAGUAAGGAAAUCCAAGGAAAUACCCAAGAAAUACCCAAGCUAAUUUUUUUUUAAAAAAAUGCACCUCUUAGUUGAAUUUGUGCAUCUAUAUCUGUACAUGAUAUACUCCUAUUUGAUGUUUUUUUUUUUGGAAAGAUUCCUUUUGAAUGUUUAUCUAUACUUUCAAAGAACAAAAAUUAUAUUUAGUAGUUCUCAAUGAAUGUGGGUAUUGGUACUUUCAGGUAGGUGUUGCAGAACUUAAAGUUGCAGUUGAAAGGAGUGGGGGGAUGGUUGUGCUGGCGGAAAGCUUUGGCCAUUCUGUUUUUAAGGAUUCUCUCAAAUGCAUUUUUUAGUCCACUGACUACGACUUUGGUCUAUCAUUUAAGCUUCAGAUGAAUUUGUUAAGAGGCGUGAAGAGAUGUGCCCAAGUGUGUGUUGAGAAGGUCUUUAUGUCUUUCGAAUCCACUGUUCGUAAGAGGGCAAGCGAAAUGGUAUGGUCUUUAUUCAAUCGUAACAUGCCUCUGGCAAUUGAAUUAAGUGCAAUAAGAAUUGUUGACGGAUCAAAAAGCGAAUUACUGUCUCAAUCGAAGCAUUUGGAGGUCCUCCAUAUGCUAAAUUCACUGAAACUUCUUUUCCCUUUUCUCUCAAAGAAAGUCACUAUUAAAUUGUUGCCGGAUUUAUAUAAGCUCUUGGGUUG